CCUCCCGGAGUGCGGGCAUCUCUGGCUCCCGAUUCGCGCUGCUGCGGGCCGGGGCGGUCCGGCUUUACUGCGGGAGGCUCUGCGGCUUCGGUGUCCUCCAUUUGGUAACCUGAUAAGAAGUCAGUGCUUGUCCUCCAAGCUUUUCUCUUUUUCUCGAAGGCAAACUUCUGUUUACGUGAUUUGUUUGUCCUCGUUAGCCAUGGAGUCCAUCAGAGACUCUAAGUGGUGCCUACAGGAAAGGCAUGCAAGAUGUUUAUGCAAGAGCCCAGAAAAGAUGUGAUCUGUACCAGAGAGCUUCCUCAACCCUGCUGCGAGCAGCUGAGGGUCCCUGUGUGGUUAAAGCGAUGCCUGGUGCUUGGCCCUCGUGUGCAGCAAUGGAGGAGGAAAAUAACACGAGGAAUAAGAGAGAAAUGUUGGGUGGUUCCAUUUGUCACUCGAUGUAGUCGAUCCUGUGUGAUUUCUGUACUGGUUGCAUGCCAACAAGUGAGAGCUCCCACCGCUUGCUUUAGCGGGCCAGCGCCGUGUGUUCCUGCAACACCAUCCAGUUCUGCCUUCCUCUAAGAAAUGAGGUCUGCCGAGCUGCAGCUCAGCGCCCCGCAGAGCGCUGCUGUGGGUGCGGGUCUGCUCGGGGCGGAAAACAGCAGAGCUGUAAAAGCAGCGGUGAGCAGCGCGGGGCAACGCCUCCGGCCCACGGGCUACAGAACGUCCUCGGCUCAGGUAGGGAACUUCAAGGGGAAGAGAACGAGGAUGGGCAGAGGGUGAUGGGUGAGGAGGAGAGCGGGCUGAAGGAAGGGGGUGGAGAGUGGAAAAAGGACGCGGGUAAGAAGGCAGAGGGAGCCGGGGACAGGGAGAGAGGUUUGGAGGAAAGGAAAAUCGGCAG